GGGUGUGUGUCUUGAUGAAAUGUUCAAAUGCAGAAAAAGAGGAGUACCUCCAGACUUCUGGGCUGUCUGGAGGUCUUUAUUGUCAUUUGUAAUGCUUUCAAGCCCUAAACUACCCAUACGGAGAAUAUAUACAAUAUGCAGUCUUAAAAAUGGCUUUGAGCAUCACCGCUCUAAGUCGGAUGUGUGGUGGGGAUGUUGGGGUGUGGGGGGAGUGGCAGUGCAUGGGUGUGUGACAGAGCAGGUGAGAGAGAGGGCAUAGGAAAGAAGAACAUAGAGACAACAUGGUGCAGAGGUCCUGGGGGGAGGGAAGAAAAUAGCGCAGGAGAAGAAACAAGGUAGAGGGAUAAAAGACAAACGUGUGCUCAAUGCCACAGGGGAGUUGCCACGUUUGCUGGUACGUGGAGACAUAGUGUGCUGGGAAGUGAUCGGUAUGAGGCACACUGGGAUCUUGGGAAAAAGAGGUGCAGAGUGUCAUGGGGUGGAAGGGGAUAAUGGAAACGGACACUUCGUAGGGAAGAUGCUAAUGGUCGGUGUGGGUACGAGACACACAAGACAGUGGCUUGGAGUGGUGAAAAUAAUGGUGGGAGGAUGAAGGGAAAAAGUGUGGGGCGGGUGUGCUUUGGAGGAGGGCAGCGUGGCCCAAGGCAAUAGAGAAUGUCUGAAGAGGAGAGGAACCCUGGAGGAGACCUUGAACAAGGCAAAAGAGGCAGAGGGCAUUCAGGGGGCCAGUGAGGGUAGUGGGCAGUGAGGGAAUCCAGGAGAAAGGGUCAGAGGAGAUCGGGAUGGAGUAAUGCAUGUGGGUGCGGAUUGGAUUCCUGCAGGAGUGGAGGCUGGGGCACCGCAAGGUGUGGAUGUAGAGGACCCAGGAAAUGGGUGAGAUACUGGUAUUGGGAGUGGAAUUUCGGCAAGACAAAGAAAGGGCGGGACCUCACCGGUCCUGGGGGUGAUAGAAGGCAAGGAGGGUGGCACUGGAGUCCCUGGAAUAGCGGUCACCUAGAGACAGAUGUCAAAAAGGUGACGGGAAGGAGGUUGGAGUGGGAUGCAGAAGUCUCCUAGGGCUGAGUCCAGGUGAGGGAUGUGUGGAGGUUUAGCAGGUAACUGGGGCUCCCAGGAUGGGGGCAUGAGGACCCUGGUGGGAGAGGAGCAUACGGUGGGGAAGGGGAGCCAGGGAACUGGGAGGGUGCGAGUGGCACAAGGCAGAUUGGAGGUCACUGCUUGACACCCAUUCGUUAAUUCUCGAUUUACGGGCAAAUAUCAAGUGUCAUGGAUAGUUAGUUCCUAAUUUCAGCUCAGGAGGCAAAACUCUUGCUCAAUUAAAACGUGCCCCCACGUCACGAACUAGAGCAUACAGUACAGGAGGGAAGGUGCAGUUUUGGGUAGCAAAUCUCAGCCAUUCCUUGGGAAAUCAGGUGCAGGAUGUGACUGGUCGGUCAGGCUGGAGAGGCUUUUACUGGUAUCCAGAGUUGCAAGUGGGGGAAAGAGCUGUCUCAUCACAAACUCUGCAUCUCUGUUGAAGAACUGUUGUGGGUCAAGGACAUUUUAUGCCCCAACAUUGAUCUGAUGAAGAUUCUUUUAGGUAUUGUGAUAUUUCUAAGACCUAACCCUUUGUUUUAACAAUAUGAGCUUUAAGAACACUUAAGCUUUUAGGAUACCUGAAAAUUGGAGAGAAAUUCACCCGUGUUUUUUCAUUCUAAGAAACCAUAUGAAAAGGGAACCAGAGGGGAGAGAGUUGUGAAUGUAUUGAUAAUUCUAAAAAAAUUUUUUUUACACAAUUUCCACUGAUUUCAUAAUAAUUACAGGCAGAUGUCCAAUUGGAGGGUGACUCUCUUGGCUUUGUUAUGAUACCAAGUAAGAUGGAUUUGGAGGAUUUAAGGUUACUAAUGAAAUUACCUUUAAGCACCUAUGUUAUCCUAGAUGAUCUGCUGGAUCCAGAGUAAUUCCAAGAUCCUUAAAGAGAGAGAGAAUCCAGAGAUAUUAGAUACAAGAGGAAAUCAGAGAUUUGAAGCAUAAGGACUGUUGCUGUCUUUGAGCCUAAGUGUAGGUGGGCACAUGUGGAAACCACAAGAUGGCAAUUAAUUGUGCUAACGACCUAAAAGAUGAUAGAAGUGGAAUAUUACAUAGGAUCUGGAGAAGGAAGUCCAAGCUGAUUGACACCUUGAUUUAGAAGGCGACAUUGUAAUCAGAGUACCCAGCCAAGACCCAAAUGGUUUUCAUCUAAGAACUGUUAUGAAAAUAAAUUUGUGCCUUGUUUUUAAAUAUCUGCUAAGUAUUUAUAGCAGUGCAAGUGACUAAAUGUGUAUUCUUCCAACUCCCACCCCCACCCUUAAUCCCAUGGUGAAACCGAAUCCCCAGCAUUUGGAGAAGGGGCCUUGUGGUGAUGAGGGUGAGCUCUCCUGAAUGAGAACAUUGACCUUGUAAAAAUGACCCCAGAGCUUUCAUUGAACCCUUCCACCAAGAGAGUACACAGUGAUAGGAUGGCUAUAUACGAGCAGGAAGUGGGCACAGGAUAUGAUAGUUGUUAACACUUCCCAGGUGAUCGUCAGGGGAAGCCAACAAUGACAACCACUUUGCCAAACACUGCCUCUCAAAGUAUUGUGUGUAUGUGAAUCUCCUGCAUUUCUGUUGAAACAGAGUCUACAGAAGAACCCUACUCUAAGAGAUUGAGAUACAGCUGCGGUCCGGCCGAUGAAUUAGCAUUUUCAACAGAGUCUCUGGUGGUGCUGCUGCUUCUCUCCCCAGAACUCUGUUUCCACAGCAUCCCCCACCCAAUCCCCCUUUCGGUAGCACUAGAGAGAGCAAGCAGAGCACACCCGACCCUCUUACUCGCUAACGUCCCAUCUCAACACAGAUGCUGUGGGUUCCUCACAUGUAGCAAAUGAAGAGGAAGGAACGGAACCAGCACAGGUGAUUCCCGUGGGGACGGAGGGGCUGCUGGAGGGAAAGUCUGAGGACCGUCCAGGGAAGCCGGAGCGCGCAGUUGCACGUGGCAGGUCCCAGGAGGGGGUUGGCCUUCUUGGGCGGCCUCUGCGCAGGCGCGAGCUCUGGGAUGGGCGUGUGGGCGUGGCUACGGCCUCGUUGCGCCUGCGCGCAUGUCCGGCAGGGUCAGGUGACCGUUGAGCUCCCGCAGACGCCCUUGGCCCUUCCAGGUGAGGAACUGGCUCAGAGCUGCGGCUUCUCCUCCUGGAAGAUAUUCUUGCUGGAUUCUGAUUCCAUGUAUUUCCUCAAUUCUCAAAUAAUGAUGCAGCUUAGAAGAUAGAAGACUAAGAAUGCCCUAGAUUUUUGGUGGAAGAACUUCUGAGGGAAUCGGGGAUGCCUGUGAGACACACACACUCACUGCCAGUCCCUUAGUUGUCUGACAUCAGUAUUUCCUGCUCCUUCCCUGUGAGCCCCUCUCUGCCAUCAGGGAUCGUGAAAAAGGAUGUCGAAUCCACUACAUCACUGUAGAUUUCCCAUUUUUGUGGACAAUAAAAAGAACGAUAUAAAUGAAAAAUAUCCAACUCGCGGUUGAUUAUAUGGAUGCCGUACGCCGUACACCUGACCUUCUCCUGAGUGACAGUUCUACACAUCUAGUGGAUCUAGAGCACAAGAGGACAUCUGAAACGUUUUUAUUGAGGAAGAACUUUCCACCAAGCAUCACAAUCCACAGUAAGCACUGGAAACAUUUCCACCAAAGGCGAGGCUGAGGUAGGUGGGCCAGCCAGGCUCCUGCCAUUCACCGCUGCUCUGGAUGCCUAAGCUGGGCCCAGCUGGGGGGAAACACUCAUUCCCAUUAGAAGUUGCACUGAGGAACCUAUUUGCAAGACAUUUCCCAGCCUAUGUGAAGGACAUAACAAAGACAUGACCAAAAACUGACAAACCUAAUUCUUUUUGUUUUUUAAUUUUUUUAAUGUUUUUUUUUAUUUUUGAGAGAGAGAGAACACGAGCAGUAGAGGGGCAGAGAGAGAAGGAGACAUGGAAUCUGAAGCAGACUCCAGGCUCCAAGCUGUCAGCAAAGAGCCCAACAUGGGUCUCGAACUCAUGAACCACAAGAUCAUGACCUGAGCCAAAGGCAGAUGCUCAGCUGACUGAGCCACCCAGGCACCCCCAAACCUAAUUCUUACUGGAGGUGUGGUGACAUAAAGACCUCAGUGAUUUAGAAACUCAGAGCAAUUCAAAUGCAAAAGAAAUGUGGGAUUUAAAAAAAUGAAACAGUGGCCAUUGUGCUGAGGAAAAAUAAUUUUGAAAAGAAAAAUUAAAUGGAGAGAUUUGCCAAAGAACACAUGAACCUAUUAAUGUGUGUGUGUUACAUGAAACUUUACAAUCAAUGAAAUAAAUAACUACCAGAUAUAUACAAAAAGCCAAUUUAAGGAGAUAAUUUUAAGAAAAGAGUACUAAACGGAACAUAAUACCUUGAGAUUAUGCUAGCUCAGAUCUGCCUAAGAAAGAUCCGAAAGUAGAGGGCAAGAAGGAAAGAUUAACAUUUCACUGCAAAACACUGAUAAAAUAAAGACACAAGGCUGUGUGUAAAGAAUUAAGCCAUAAAAUAGCCCUUAAAAAUAUAUCAAAGGAGAACAGCAAAGUAUGAAAAUCCAGGUUUUAUUCCCACAAAACUAAUGAAAGUUACAAGUAGGUGGAAAAUGGAAAUACAACGGAUUGUCAAUUUCUCCCCAAUUUUCAAACACAAAGAGAUUACAGUACCAAUUUUGCCUACGUCAGGGGGGAAGUCUCGUGUUGUUGUGGGAUGGGGUACUUCGUAGCUUUAGGAGACCAUAUCGGACAGAAUCUAUCCUAAUGUGAAAUGCACUGUCCUUAACCCAGUAAUCACACGUUGAGUUGCCUGACCCAGAGAAAUCCUGAGACAUCUGCAGAGAGGCCGGCCUACUCCUACACAGCCACCGUGUCAUUCUUUACAUCAGCGAAAAAUGGCAAAGGUCCCCGUGUGUCCCCAUUAAGAAAAUGAUCCAAUGAGGCUCUGAAUGAGCAAGCUGUGUCUGAUUGUGUUGAUUAACAUGAAAACAGUGUCUAGACGUGCUGUGUAAAUUUUUCUAAUUUGCAUAAUAAAAUGUUACGACAAACUUCA